AAAUGAAGAUGACGCAAGCGGCCUUCCAGCAAAGCGCAGCCUUGCGGCAGGUCUGGGUAGGACUGCAGCCUGUGACGUGGCACCCAAGAGAGGUACAGAGGCACAACAGGCAUCAGGGUUUGAUUCAAUGUCUUUCUAGUUAGGCUUUCUGUCCUUUCUUUCUUCAUACUCCUUUUGCUGCGUGUUGCUUGAGGUCUUCGUCCCUGGGAUUUACAAUUACCUUCCCUGUCCAGAUUUGAAAUGCAAACCCACACUUCAGCUAAGAUCCUAAGAUC
rnacentral:lncRNA from 1 species